UCCAUGGAUUUGCGCUGAUUAGCUGCACGU
rnacentral:piRNA from 1 species